AACUCUCAUGUGUGAGAAACAUCUCUCUCAUAUGUGAGAAACAUGUGAUUCUAUUUUAACUAACGCGGUAACAAUAAGAUUAUCUUUAUAACAUAUUUCAGUUGUCUAUUUGUUUAUCGAACAGUAAAAAAAAGUUUCAUUUGCAGUUUAAUAUGAGGAACAAGACUUAUUCAAUCUCAGCUCUAAGUUUGAUAUAUAUAUAUAUAUAGUGCCGAUCACAUUCGGGAGCCCGAAUUUGGCUUAAAUUCUGAACUUUCCUUCUCAUUCAUUGGAUGAUAUCCAACGGUCCAGGAUCUGAUUUGAAUGGGUUGGAAAAAAAAUGCAGCAUCGGAUCAAUGGGUUAAGAAGAAAAAAAAACUCUCUAAUUCAAAUCACUCUCUCUCUCUCUCUAACAACAGACCCAACUGUUCUCGCCUCUCUGUCUCUUCUCUCUCUGUCUCCCAAGAUCGACGCUGAUUUUGGGAAAAUCUGCUGGAGCUCCGACCGAAAACUCCGGCGACGCAAACGGCAAGACCCCGACCGACGCAUUUGCAAGGUAUUUUCUAAUUUCCUGUUGCAACCAAAUGAACGAAUCCUAGGGUUCAUUUCAGGGGUUUUGAUUUCGUCAAUCCCAUUAAGCUUCUUGAGAGGAAAUUAGUCACUCUGUUGGUUUUUAGAUGAAGUUUUUAUUACUAUAAAGUUUAUAUAUGCGGCUUCCAGCUGGUUGUGUACAUUAUUGUGGGAUGUAUAUAUAUAGUGAUGUGAUGAUUUAUGGUGUGGAUAACCUGUUUAGUUUAUUAUAUGGCUCUUUGAUUUGAUGAUUGUGGAGAAAUUUUGUUUUGGGAAUUUUGGAGGUCUUUCCAUAUAUGUAUUUAUAUUUUCGGAUGUUUCAUGUUAUAACAUUAUUUUUUUAGUGUACUUUUCUUGAGCAUGUUGAGCAGGAAAAGUAGACACUGCUGCAUUCUACAAACCCAACAAUAAAUAAAAUUAAAAUAUUUUACACUAAAAAAAUAAUAUUGUAACAUGAAACAUCCGAAAAUAUAAGUACAUAUAUGCAAAGACCUCCAAAAUUCUCAAAACAAAAAUUCUCCGCAAUCAUCAAAUCAAAGAGCCAUAUAAUAAACUAAACAGGUUAUCCACACCAUAAAUCAUCACAUCACUAUAUAUAUAUAUACAUCCCACAAUAAUGUACACAACUAGCUGGAAGCCACAUAUAUAAACUUUAUAGUAAUAAAAACUUCAUCCGAAAACCAACAGUGACUAAUUUCCUCUCAAGAAGCUUAAUGGGUUUGACGAAAUCAAAACCCCUGAAAUGAACCCUAGGAUUCGUUCAUUU
rnacentral:lncRNA from 1 species